rnacentral:lncRNA from 1 species
UCAAAAUGCUGGGAUUACAAGCGUGAGCCACCUUGCCUGACAGAACACAUACAUUUUUAAUAGUUUAAAGAAAGGACUGUUUGAUACUAUAUUACAAUGCAAAAAGAAAAGAAAGAAAAUAAGAAUAUCAAAUUCUACAGACCUGAACCCCAUGGUUGUGCCUACUACUAACCAGAAUAAAAGAAAUAAGCAAUCUGAAAAACUGCUUUAGCAACUGUUCGAUUCAGAAUAGUUCUGUAAUUAAGUUCCAUAUUUACAGAAUUAUUAAGGGCUUAAAGAGAUCACUUAAAAUUUACACAUAUAUCUAUACACAUACACACACACACACUUUACCAAAUAUUUUUAUUGGGUAAAUUAUAUAGUGCUAUUUGUUAAUUUAGGGGAUUUCAAAAGUUUCAGGAUACAUCCUUUAAAACACCAAUAUUAAACUAUACUAUAGAAUAAAAUCCUUCCAUCAAGGCCAUGAGGCAGGGAGUGAGGAAGAACACACAAAACAAGAGGGGCAGAAUGUUGAUAAUGUUGAAGCUGGUUAUUAGGUAUUUAGAAAUUCAUUAUGCUAUUAUCUCUACAUUUGUAUAUGUUUGAUAACAUUCUCCUAGUAUUUUUUAAAAAAUAAGAUUCUUCCACAGAAUGAUGGGAAGACUCAGUGAGACACAGCAAGGUUUCCUUAACCUUGAGAUUAGAAAAUAGACCAGAAGUCAUAUACAAGCACUGACAAAAGACUAAUUUGGCAUAAAAUAUACACAUUGGAUUUAUUUCUCUAACAAACACACUACUCUCUAUUCAUUUUGAAAGAGCCCACAGGAUAAAAUCUCGUAAACUAUGAUAAUCUAGAGACAAGACCCAAAAAUGUUGAGGUAUAGCCAUCAUAAUUAAGUCCCCUUUACCAAUUCCUGAAUACUCCUGUAAUUGUAUUUACUGUAAAACCUGAAUCACUUUUUAGAGUUGUAAUUUAUAACUCUACUGAGUCUAAGUUCAUACUUUCUUUUUUUAUCAAAGGAUCAGUAACUCCAGUUUCUGGGCUGCUGAUUCACAUAUGAUCAACAGCAGCCAGAACAAAAACAGCAUGGGGGCAGGGUCAUCUCCCACAACCCAUCUGUUUCCCUCUUUUGCUGGCCUGAUUAUGCAUCUUUUCUCCACCCUACCCGCUUUAGGGCUGCAUGCCUUCUGCCUGUACAGAACAACAUACGUACCUAGAAACAACAGCAUGAAAUGUGUUAGAAGAAUGGAAGAACGUAGACAGCUACUGACAACUCUAAAACAUGAGCACUAGCACAAUUCUUUAUCAUGACCCAUGACAAAAAGGUGGUUCUAUGCGACCAAAUGUAAACCUAAUCUUGAAAACUCUUACUGUCUCAGCAGGUACUGCCCUACGUCCUACUGUAGAAGAUGAGGAAAACAGCCAGGCAUGGUGAUGCAUGCCUGUAGUCCCAGCUACUCGGGAGGCUGAGGUACACGAGAAGGAAAACAUGGGAAUGAAGACAAUGAGAAACAACAAAGAUUACAAGAAUAGGAAGAGAAUAACAGAAGAAAAGUAGGAAGAGUUUGAGAAAGAGGAAAGAGGCUGAGUUACAGAUAUAAGGAAAUAAUAAUAUUGCUUUCAAACCUGA